rnacentral:lncRNA from 1 species
ACGUGCUGGAAGUGAAGACUUAAUAGUUGUCAUCAUAUUCUUCGUCUUCUGGUGGAGACUGCUCGACCUCAUGGUAGUCCAAUUCCAGGGCCGCUAGAUCCUCCCGUGCUUCUGCAAACUCUCCUAGAGAAGUGGCGAGGCAGCUCAGGUACAGCCUCUACCCAGACCACAUGUACAGUACUCAAGACUCAAGAAGUUCAAUACUUCUAGUGAAGAUGGUCAGCACCAGGGGUGAUACACUGUGAUCUAAUAUUCGUCAAUAGAGUCCCCUUCAUCUUGGGCACUGUCUGUUACGUCUCUGUAAUCCUGUUCAAGUAAUCUCAAGUUCUCCUGGGCUUCUGAAAACUCUCCUGUGGACAACAAAAUAACUUCAUGUUGAGAAUUCAGUUGGAAAAUUCUAAAUAAAAUAUGUUUACUGUC